UACGUAGGGUCCGAGCGUUGUCCGGAUUUAUUGGGCGUAAAGAGCUCGUAGGCGGUUUCGUAAGUCGGAUGUGAAAACUCAGGGCUCAACCCGGAGACGCCAUCUGAUACUGCGAUGACUUGAGUCUGGUAGGGGAUCACGGAAUACCUGGUGUAGCGGUGAAAUGCGCAGAUAUCAGGUGGAACACCGAUGGCGAAGGCAGUGAUCUGGGCCAGUACUGACGCUGAGGAGCGAAAGCGUGGGGAGCAAACAGG
rnacentral:rRNA from 1 species